rnacentral:rRNA from 1 species
CAGCCGCCGCGGCAAUACGGAGGGUGCAAGCGUUAUCCGGAUUUAUUGGGUUUAAAGGGUCCGUAGGCGGAUCUGUAAGUCAGUGGUGAAAUCUCACAGCUUAACUGUGAAACUGCCAUUGAUACUGCAGGUCUUGAGUAAAUUUGAAGUGGCUGGAAUAAGUAGUGUAGCGGUGAAAUGCAUAGAUAUUACUUAGAACACCAAUUGCGAAGGCAGGUCACUAAGAUUUAACUGACGCUGAUGGACGAAAGCGUGGGGAGCGAACAGGAUUAGAUACCCCUGUAGUCCCUGUCUCUUAUAC